GCCGGGCGCGGUGGCCCACGCCUGUCCUCCCAGCAGCUCGGGAGGCUGAGGCAGGAGGAUGGAGAGUUCAAAGCCAGCCUCAG
rnacentral:sRNA from 1 species